CCUGACAGGUUCCAGGGUAUUCGUCAGCCCGCCAGCAACUUCUUAUUGUAUGGACCGCCAGGGACUGGAAAGGUGGGGGGAGGAUUGGGUGGGGAUCGGGGUAGCGGUGGUAGGUUAGGUGUUUGCAUAACGCCAUGGGAGGCUGCGGGGGGGCCCCCACAUAGGUAUGUAGAGGCGAAGCACACGGUCGUAUCCUUAGUCCCACCCCCCUUUACGGCCACGUACGGCCAUCAGCCUCUACACAAACUCCCCAUGCUUUGGACUUUGGCAGCUAACCUUUUGCAAUUUGCGUUUUGAUUCUCCGCCUCGGCUGAUGUGACUGUGGCUCUGCCCGGCUCUCAUCUCGGGUUGGUAAGUAUUAGAUAGUAGUUACAAUAUUAAUUUAAUUAUGUGCCCGCGUGUAAGCCUAACUCCCCUCUCCUUACCUUACAAGGGUUUUUGAGUCACGGUUUCGGAGCUGUCGGCGGCUCCUUGGGCACCGACAAGUUCUGUUUGUCGUGUUUAGCCCCCUGAUGGAUUUCGCCGUCCUCACCGUCGUGGCUGCACACACCCCUCCCUCCGUCUCCUUUCCUUCCUCGCGCACAUGCAUCAGACCAUGCUGGUCGAGCGCAUCGCUGCGGAAGCGGGAGCGACUCUGUUGGUGCUCACGCCCGGUGCAAUACUUUCAAAAUGGUGGGAUUGGGAAGGGAGGGAAAUUUGGGGAUGGCGGGAUGGCCGGAUGGUUUCCCUUUUUGACACCUUUGGUUGAUGAUGAUGCACCGAUGCCACGUGUACAUACGGCAUGCACGCACAUAGCUAUACAUCUAUAAACGGGCACGUGCAUCCCGUACAUGUACCCGUAUACACACACGCGCUCAUGCCCGUACAUGUGCCGUACUCAGGAGCGGCGAGAGUGAGAAACAGCUGCGGGCGGUGUUCGAGGUAGCUCGCGUCAAACAGCCGUGUAUCGUGUUCAUGGUGGGUGGGUGUCUCCUUGCGCUAGAGGAGAAACAAUGCCCGUAUGUAAAGGUAUUUUUUGAGGGGGAAGAUGGGUUAGAUGAGGGUUAUGGAUAAGGGCAGAUAGGGCCGUGUGUUUUGCCCCUCUAUUCAGCGUUUUUUUCUGCGGAAUACAUUCCGAGUUCGGAAUAGAAGCUCUACUGUGAUGUGAUGUGAUGUAAGAGGGUUAAGUAUGCUGUUCGGCGCGCGACUCGUCCUCGAUUCUGUGACGUGACAAAAGAUUUGGUGAUGGGGCUUCGGGCAGCUUUAUGCGUGGCCCUGCUUCUCCGCCCCUCGUCUUGAUGAUUCCAGUCCUUACAGCUCUUACCCCACAAACGUACCUCCACUCCCAGCCCCGCCCGUACUUCGUCCCUGAACCUUCUCAGCGCCCACAUCCGC
rnacentral:lncRNA from 1 species